rnacentral:rRNA from 1 species
GUGGGGAAUAUUGCACAAUGGGCGCAAGCCUGAUGCAGCGACGCCGCGUGCGGGAUGACGGCCUUCGGGUUGUAAACCGCUUUCAGCAAGGAAGAAGCUUUAUUGUGACGGUACUUGCAGAAGAAGCGCCGGCUAACUACGUGCCAGCAGCCGCGGUAAUACGUAGGGCGCGAGCGUUAUCCGGAAUUAUUGGGCGUAAAGAGCUCGUAGGCGGUUUGCCACGUCUGCUGUGAAAGCCCGGGGCUCAACCUCGGGUGUGCAGUGGGUACGGGUAGGCUGGAGUGCAGUAGGGGAGACUGGAAUUCCUGGUGUAGCGGUGAAAUGCGCAGAUAUCAGGAGGAACACCGAUGGCGAAGGCAGGUCUCUGGGCUGUUACUGACGCUGAGGAGCGAAAGCAUGGGGAGCGAACAGGAUUAGAUACCCUUGUAGUCC